UCGAGCCUACCAUGCAGUCGAGCGGAAACGAGUUAUCUGAACCUUCGGGGAACGAUAACGGCGUCGAGCGGCGGACGGGUGAGUAAUGCCUAGGAAAUUGCCCUGAUGUGGGGGAUAACCAUUGGAAACGAUGGCUAAUACCGCAUGAUGCCUACGGGCCAAAGAGGGGGACCUUCGGGCCUCUCGCGUCAGGAUAUGCCUAGGUGGGAUUAGCUAGUUGGUGAGGUAAGGGCUCACCAAGGCGACGAUCCCUAGCUGGUCUGAGAGGAUGAUCAGCCACACUGGAACUGAGACACGGUCCAGACUCCUACGGGAGGCAGCAGUGGGGAAUAUUGCACAAUGGGCGCAAGCCUGAUGCAGCCAUGCCGCGUGUGUGAAGAAGGCCUUCGGGUUGUAAAGCACUUUCAGUCGUGAGGAAGGUAGUGUAGUUAAUAGCUGCAUUAUUUGACGUUAGCGACAGAAGAAGCACCGGCUAACUCCGUGCCAGCAGCCGCGGUAAUACGGAGGGUGCGAGCGUUAAUCGGAAUUACUGGGCGUAAAGCGCAUGCAGGUGGUUUGUUAAGUCAGAUGUGAAAGCCCGGGGCUCAACCUCGGAAUUGCAUUUGAAACUGGCAGACUAGAGUACUGUAGAGGGGGGGUAGAAUUUCAGGUGUAGCGGUGAAAUGCGUAGAGAUCUGAAGGAAUACCGGUGGCGAAGGCGGCCCCCCUGGACAGAUACUGACACUCAGAUGCGAAAGGCGUGGGGAGCAAACAGGAUUAGAUACCCGGGAAUCAA
rnacentral:rRNA from 1 species